ACCAAAAUUUUCACUGUCUGUGGGACAAGUGCCAUAACCUCUUCACCUAAUCCAGGGCACCCCACUUUUUACAUUCACUUUCUGACUUGGUGCCCUGUCUGUAAGGUCAAGAGGUUCCUUUUCCACCCACUGCUCAUCCAUUUUGCCAUUCUGGGCUUCUGGACCCUGGCUCUUCCUGGAUUGCUUGAAUCACUGAGAGGUUCUCAGAAUGUACAUUUCCUUAUUCCACCCAUUCUAGAAAGCCUCUAAUAGUACGGCUGCACCUUAACACCACCAAGUGAUUCAGAGUACAAAGGAGAGGUUCUGUGUGACACGUUCUAAGCCUUAGCUGCAUGACGUAAACAAUAAUCAAAUAAGUAUGUAUUAAUAGUCACAUACUCAUUAUCUACAGGCUACAUGAAGAAAGAGUUGGCCACUACUAGGAACUGUGCUUGCAAAUUAGAUUUGUGGAAGGUAGAUAGAUGGAUGCCUAAAAUAAAUUGAUUCUCUAAAGGACCAUACAUGCAUGCAGGAGGAUUACUGGAAGGAACAACGUGGUCAGAGUUCAGGCUCUCAUUCAGACUGACUCCACUGCUGUCAGCUGCUACCUUGGUAAAGUUGCUUCAUCCCCUAAACCCUUAUUUUUUAUCAUCUUUAAACUAGGGUCAAUUGUGAUACUCAACUGGGAAAAACAAAGAGCACAGUUCAUUUAAAUGCUUAGCAUAUAUUCUGAUACAUUGUGUGCACCAACACACCACCUUCAACACAGAAAGAAAAUUUGAAUGUAGCUUCAAUUUCAUUGCUGUAUUCAAAGUUGAGAAGGUGAAUAAUCACACAUCAGAUUAAAAAUAUAGAGUGACCUUCCCCACUACCCAAUGUGAAGUAAAAAAACAACUUAUAUCCUAUGUGUUGUGAUAUGCCUUGUUAUUUCGGUGUUUUCGUUUCCAUUCUGUAUGAUGAGACGUUGAGGACAGACGCCAGGUUCAAUGUGGGAGUCAAAAGGGAGGUGUUCUGGGAAAGCUGCAUAAUAGUGUUCCACCUAAAUGCCAUUCUAAUCUCUAACACCUCCUCUUAAGUCUGCUGUGAUACGUGUUACUCCUGGUACAGCUGGCUGCACCAUACCUGUUCCAGUGUGGUGAAACCUGAAAACUUGGAUGUCAAACUUUCAUUUGACCAAAAGAUAGAAAUCUAAACUGAUAGGACAAAGAGGCAACAGGUAAAAAUUGCAACUCACCAAUCAGUGCACAGACUAGUAGAUUGGUAUCAACCUGUUAGAAAUGCAGAUGUGUGGGUCUCACCCCAUUCUAGCUGAAUCAGGAGUUGAUUAAUGUCAGGACCCUCAGAGAUGCACUGAAGUGAGGAAUGUUUCACAUCAUGUGUUUCAUUUUCAUUUUAGAAAUUCCUAUGUUGGGGUGAUGGACCUCAUUGCUUCAACCAAUUUAAUAAAAAUGGUAUAGUGAGUGAGCAGAUAAAGUCCUGAGUGAAUGUGUACUGUUGACAUUAGUACAGCCAUGUCAAGGACACAAUGCCUCAGACCCCUGUGGAUAGCAAGGCCUUCCUGUGGUUCUACAGAUGUUUGCAGUGUAUAUUGACCACAGUUUCCUCCUCCUAGAUCACAGCAAUGAGACUGCUCCUCCACAGCUACGUAUAACAGAUGCACCGAGUUUCUGGGGUGCUGGGGAAGCUCACUGUCAGAACAAAUUGCCCACUCAGCCCCAGCUUUUCUCUUGUGUGUUUGUCCUUUCUUCAUUUCCUGUCAGCUCCCUUGAAGAGAAGAAAUAGACAACAGAUGAAGAUGAAGUUUUAACCAUUAGGAACUCCCAGAAAGCUUAUUAUUAUAUACAACAAAACUCUCACAUCACAUUUCCUUGAUGGGUGAUGAGAAUACACGAAGUCCACACUUCUUUUUCCUCAAUUUCUGAGAACAUGGGUGCACUGAAGGAAGAAAAAAUUCAGAAGGGUUUGUUCUCCUGUCCUUAAUUAUGGCUAUGUGUAAUUGGGAAAGCAAUUUCCUAAACAGAACUUGAAUAAGCCUUGAAUAACAGGUUUGUGUAACCCAGGCCCUUCUCAAGCCUGACUUGGGGCUUGGCUGUUUUUCUCAGCUGCAGCAGAGUGAUGCCUUUUCUGAGACUCAUCUGUACGUUUGCUUUUGGAAAGUGAACUUGGUGUUUUGGGGAAUCAAAUCCAAAACUUUUGAAACCAUUUAAUCCCCUUUUCACCCAACAAAGUAGAAUACAUUAGAAUGAAAACAAUGGUUUUCUUUUCAAAGCACCGCAGGCCAGUCUUCAGUAUUUUUCCUACUUUGCUUCCCUCUAGUGUCUCAAAGUGAAAUGUGCAUGGAAAUUUUACACACGGACAUGCCCUGCUCAAUGAAUUUGUUCAUCAGAAAGAAGUGGUGCAGAGUCCUCUUGUCCUUUUAAAGAUUCAAACGCCCUCUGUCUCCCUAAACUACCAAUAGCACCUCUUCCUGGAAAUACUUGGUUCUAUUUUUUUUUUUUAUUUAAACUGAAUAAUACUAGAGAUCAUAAAAGUGUGCAGAUUUCAAGCUCAACUUGUAUUUUAAAGGUGAAUAAUUUACUAUAAUGGAGUGUUGACUUCAUUAUGCUAUAAUACAACAUUUUUAAAGGAAGGGAGAAAUCUAUCAACAUUUAGAUUUCAUGUGUAUUACACUCUACUCUUAGAGACAGCAUCUUGCCUCUUUCUGGUAAUGUUUUUACAUCUGUUUUUGUUUGUAUGUUUGUUUUUAGUCUUGUAAAAGAAAACAUUCAAAGUUUGUCCCACAGCAGGAACUGUUACUGAAUCAGUGCAUCAUUCAACGUGCAGCAGAUAGCUUCUUUUUUGCAAGAGAUGGAAACUAUUAUAGAGAUCCACAAUUGGACACCAUGCAGAGGGUCAGAAACUUUGGAGCACUCAGGUGUAAAUGGGAUGUCUGCAUCAAACCCCUCCCCUCAAGGCUCAGCGAUCCAUGUGGAAGAGAAGGCAAAAAGAUUUCAAGAGCCAGAGGUGGUUAUGGGUAGCACUAUCUCCAAGACACAACUGGACUGAUGCACUUAUGAACUCACAGAAACUGUGGUACCAUACAUAGCACAUUGCACAAGUUCACAUCAGAUAGGGUCCCAGCACUGAGAAGGGAAAGUAGACAUAAGGUCCCACCCCUAACCAAGAAGCUCUUUGCAAUUGAUACCUGCUGGCAAAGGGAAAAAUCAGUUUUCUCCAAUGAAGUGUGAUUGGAUAUAUCAACCAUAAUCCAGGGCAGGCCUCCAAGUCCAGGAGUAGUUAGCUAACACAAAACAUUCUCCAUGGUUUGUUUGUAUUUUUUUCUGGGCUUUUAAUUUCAUUUUAGCAUUUUUUGUUUUAUUUGUUUUUUUG